ACGGAGGAUUAUGGUUUCGGGGAGACCGCUCGUGGCCUCCCCUCGGCUUUUGUUCAGCACUGAAGGGGCAGCGUCUGCUUUCAGAGUUGGGUGCCCAGGGGCACCUGAACUGCAUCACAGAGGCCCAAAGUGCUGACCAUGGCUGCGUCUGGGUGUCUCCAUCCUCAUCCCGUCUGUGAACUAGCUCCAUCUGUGCCAGGCACCCCAAAUACAGCCAGGAGACUUCAGUGCUGGUUUCUGCCCCAACACUUUCUGUGUGACUCCAGGACAGUGGUUUACCUCUCUGGGCCUCUUAGGUGAGCAGGUCCUGAGCUGAGGAGAUUUUCUCUGCAGCCCCCACACUUGGGCCUAGACCACACGCUGCUCCUCAUCCCACACCUGCUCUCUGGUUGAUGUCGCCCUUGGCCCUUGGCAGUCCCCAAGGGCACCACCUGACUGGCCUCUCGAUUCAGCGCCCUAGCCACCGCCCCACCACCACCCGAAGCGCAUCCUCUGGCUUAGAAAACAUCUCCUGUUCACCACGGAGUAAAUUCAUCACCUACCCCAGCAGGCAGUGGAGGGGAUGAGGCAGGAUGAUGGACAGAAGGUACUGCACCCCGUGCCGGGUGUUUGGUAGAUGCUGAAGAAAGGCUACUUCCUUUUCUUAUCAGUCCCUCUUUCUGCUAUGAAAAGUGUGAAGUGAUCUGAAAAUGUGAGUGUCAGCCUGGCACUUAAUCCCAGCACCUUGCUAGGCCAAGGCAGGUGAAUCACCUGAGGUCAGGAGUUUGAGAGACCAGUCUGAUCAAUAUGGUGAAACCCCGUCUCUACUAAAAACACAAAAAUUAGCUGGUCAUGGUGGCGGGUGCCUGUAAUCUCAGCUAUUCGGGAGGCUGAGACAGGAGAAUUGCUUGAACCUGGGAGGUGGAGGUUGCAGUGAGCCAAGAUGGUGCCACUGUACUCCAGCCUGGGCAGACAGAGCGAGACUUCGUCUAAAGAAAGAAAGAAAGAAUGGAAAGAAAGAAAGAAUAGAAAGAAAGGAAAGAAAGACAGAAGGACAGAAAGAAAGAAGAAAGAAAAUGAAUAUUUCAACGCAAGUGUUUCUUUGUCUUCUCUGAAUCCAUCUUCUCCUGGACCCUCACUGCCAGCUGCUUGCGUCCACGUGAUUGAACCAUAUGAAUCAGCUAUGCGGUUGGCAGCCGACCUAUCUGAAGGCUUGGCCACCUCAGUCAAAUAUACUUUCUCCUACCCCGCCCACUCAAUUCCUGCCCCACUCUCUGGUGCCCCUGAGAAUGCUCCAUCUCAUCCUCCUGCCAGGCUACUUCCUUCUCCUCACCUCCUUCUGGAAGCCUUCCCCAACUCCGGUGGCCUGUCCUAUUUCUAG
rnacentral:lncRNA from 13 species